UGGGGAAUUUUGGACAAUGGGCGAAAGCCUGAUCCAGCAAUGCCGCGUGUGUGAAGAAGGCCUUCGGGUUGUAAAGCACUUUUGUCCGGAAAGAAAUCCUUGGCUCUAAUACAGUCGGGGGAUGACGGUACCGGAAGAAUAAGCACCGGCUAACUACGUGCCAGCAGCCGCGGUAAUACGUAGGGUGCAAGCGUUAAUCGGAAUUACUGGGCGUAAAGCGUGCGCAGGCGGUUUGCUAAGACCGAUGUGAAAUCCCCGGGCUCAACCUGGGAACUGCAUUGGUGACUGGCAGGCUAGAGUAUGGCAGAGGGGGGUAGAAUUCCACGUGUAGCAGUGAAAUGCGUAGAGAUGUGGAGGAAUACCGAUGGCGAAGGCAGCCCCCUGGGCCAAUACUGACGCUCAUGCACGAAAGCGUGGGGAGCAAACAGGAUUAGAUACCCUGGGUAGUCCCACGCCCUAAACGGUGUCAACUAGUUGUUGGGGAUUCAUUUUCCUUAGUAACGUANCUAACGCGUGAAGUUGACCGCCUGGGGAGUACGGUCGCAAGAUUAAAACUUAAAGGAAUUGACGGGGUCAUAGCUGUUU
rnacentral:rRNA from 1 species